CCUUGCUAUAAUUCUUACUUCACAGUUGCUACAUAUAGUAUAAUCUUGUCAAAAAAAUACGCACGAGUGACCACGAAUAACAAGUGAUAUUUUCAUGUUUAACGAAAACCACGCGAUGUUUCAGCACAAUAUUGCGUUACUUGAAGUUUCCCAUUAACUUAAAGCGGUUCUACGUUGUUACAAAACGUUUUACAUCAGGGACGUACGACAAGAACUAAAAACAAUGA